rnacentral:rRNA from 1 species
CUACGUGUCGCAGCAGUGAGGAAUAUUGCACAAUGGUGGGAACCCUGAUGCAGCAACGCCGCGUGGAGGAUGACGCAUUUCGGUGUGUAAACUCCUUUUAUAUGUCAAGAAAAUGACGGUAGCAUAUGAAUAAGCACCGGCUAACUCCGUGCCAGCAGCCGCGGUAAUACGGAGGGUGCAAGCGUUACUCGGAAUCACUGGGCGUAAAGGACGCGUAGGCGGGUUGGAAAGUCAGGUGUGAAAUCCUACAGCUUAACUGUAGAACUGCACUUGAAACUUCUAAUCUAGAGUAUGGGAGGGGGAGAUGGAAUUAGUGGUGUAGGGGUAAAAUCCGUAGAUAUCACUAGGAAUACCUAAAGCGAAGGCGAUCUCCUGGAACAUUACUGACGCUAAGGCGUGAAAGCGUGGGGAGCAAACAGGAUUAGAUACCCCCGUAGUC